AUUGAACGCUGGCGGUAUGCCUUACACAUGCAAGUCGAACGGCAACAGGGUAUCGGAUGCCGACGAGGGGCGGACGGUGGAGUAAUACAUCGGAAUGCGCCCAAAUGUACGGUUUAGUGGGGCGUAACGUUGGCUAAUAUCCGAUAAUACCGCAUGCGGAAUACGGGUGACAGCAGGGGAUCUUCGGAUCUGGCGCGCUGGAGUGAGCCGAUGUCGGAUUAGGUAGUUGGUGGGAUAAAGGCGUACCAAGGCGACGAUCCGUAGCUGGUCUGAGAGGACGACCAGCCACACUGGAACUGAGACACGGCCCAGACUCCUACGGGAGGCAGCAGUGGGGAAUUUUGGACAAUGGGCGAAAGCCUGAUCCAGCAAUGCCGCGUGCAGGAUGAAGGCCUUCGGGUUGUAAACUGCUUUUGUACGGAAAGAAAAGGCUCUGGCUAAUACCUGGGGCAUAUGACGGUACCGUAAGAAUAAGCACCGGCUAACUACGUG
rnacentral:rRNA from 1 species